rnacentral:rRNA from 1 species
GAUGAACGCUAGCGACAGGCCUAACACAUGCAAGUCGAGGGGCAUCGGGGCGAGGAGCAAUCCUUGCCGCCGGCGACCGGCGCACGGGUGAGUAACGCGUAUGCGACCUGCCCGUUGCAGGGGGAUAAUCGGGAGAAAUCCCGUCUAAUACCGCGUAAUGCCGCGGGGCUGCAUGGCCCUGCGGCCAAAGGGAGCGAUUCCGGCAACGGAUGGGCAUGCGUGACAUUAGCUAGUUGGCGGGGCAACGGCCCACCAAGGCGACGAUGUCUAGGGGUUCUGAGAGGAAGGUCCCCCACACUGGUACUGAGACACGGACCAGACUCCUACGGGAGGCAGCAGUGAGGAAUAUUGGUCAAUGGGCGCGAGCCUGAACCAGCCAAGUCGCGUGAGGGAUGACGGCCCUACGGGUUGUAAACCUCUUUUGUCGGGGAGCAAAUUCCGUUACGUGUAACGGAGUCGAGAGUACCCGAAGAAAAAGCAUCGGCUAACUCCGUGCCAGCAGCCGCGGUAAUACGGAGGAUGCGAGCGUUAUCCGGAUUUAUUGGGUUUAAAGGGUGCGUAGGCGGACUGUCAAGUCAGCGGUAAAAUACGGGGGCUCAACCUCCGCCCGCCGUUGAAACUGACGGUCUUGAGUGGGCGAGAAGUAUGCGGAAUGCGUGGUGUAGCGGUGAAAUGCAUAGAUAUCACGCAGAACUCCGAUUGCGAAGGCAGCAUACCGGCGCCCAACUGACGCUGAAGCACGAAAGCGUGGGUAUCGAACAGGAUUAGAUACCCUGGUAGUCCACGCAGUAAACGAUGAAUACUAGCUGUCCGGGGCGAAUGAGCCCUGGGUGGCACAGCGAAAGCGUUAAGUAUUCCACCUGGGGAGUACGCCGGCAACGGUGAAACUCAAAGGAAUUGACGGGGGCCCGCACAAGCGGAGGAACAUGUGGUUUAAUUCGAUGAUACGCGAGGAACCUUACCCGGGCUCAAACGACACAGGAACGUACCUGAAAGGGUUCGGCUCUACGGAGCCUGUGUCGAGGUGCUGCAUGGUUGUCGUCAGCUCGUGCCGUGAGGUGUCGGCUUAAGUGCCAUAACGAGCGCAACCCCCAUCGACAGUUGCUAACAGGUCAGGCCGAGGACUCUGUCGAGACUGCCGGCGCAAGCUGCGAGGAAGGCGGGGAUGACGUCAAAUCAGCACGGCCCUUACGUCCGGGGCGACACACGUGUUACAAUGGCAGGUACAGCGGGAAGCCACCUGGCGACAGGGAGCGGAACCCGAAAGCCUGUCUCAGUUCGGAUUGGAGUCUGCAACCCGACUCCAUGAAGCUGGAUUCGCUAGUAAUCGCGCAUCAGCCACGGCGCGGUGAAUACGUUCCCGGGCCU